UACGUAGGGUGCGAGCGUUAAUCGGAAUUACUGGGCGUAAAGUGUGCGCAGGCGGCCAUGCAAGUCGAGUGUGAAAGCCCCGAGCUUAACUUGGGAAUUGCGCUCGAAACUACGUGGCUGGAGUGUGGCAGAGGAAGGUGGAAUUCCACGUGUAGCGGUGAAAUGCGUAGAGAUGUGGAGGAACACCAAUGGCGAAGGCAGCCUUCUGGACAGUGACUGACGCUGAGAUGCGAAAGCGUGGGGAGCAAACAGG
rnacentral:rRNA from 1 species